GUUUCUUGUGCAGUGUAGCAGUGGGCUUUUCAGUACCAGGAAGACAUAUGAAAGGGAGAGAAAACCUUUUUCUAUCUGGUGUUUUUCAAAAUUUUGAUGAUGGACUCACAUCAAGGAUGAAGAGCUUUGAUGUCAUUUGAACACCACCGCCAUCACCACCACCAGCGUCAACAAACAAACAAGCAAACAAGCGUGAACUCAGGAGCCCUGUGGCCCAGCCUCCAGUCCAUUUCCUCACUGUGAUCUGGCUAAGUCACCUCCCCUCCACCUCAGUUCAGUCACCUACACAACAGGAAUGGUGGCUCCUGGCGUGAAAAGUUCUUAGGAGCAUUCAGCAUGAUGCUGUGUGAAGAACUUGGAAACUGCAUGUGCAUCACCUCAUAUUUCUGGCCACAAGUCAUUCAGACAUCUGCCCUUUGCCCUGGUGGAGAACCACUAGGGACUUGUGCCCAUAGGCACCAAUUCUGGCUUUUACCCUACCCAUCCUUUGCCAUCCCAAACUAUGCCAUCAACAAAUUCUAGAAAUCAAGUUAGAAAUGCUGUUCCCACGAGGGUCUCUGUGGUCUCUCAGAACAACAAUCAGCUGGCCCUGCUGGGCAGAUGUUGCCCAAUCCUAACCCACACUUAGCUAUCAACUUAAUCAUUCUCAACUAAAAACACCUACCUGAACACUUUUAGGGGUUAAGAAUAGUAUAAUCUCACUUAGCCAUUUGCACUUUUUCUUCUUUUUACAAAAAGAAAUUUAUCUUUUUUUUUUUUUUGAGACGGAGUCUUGCUCUGUUGCCCAGGCUGGAGUGCAGUGGCGCAAUCUUGGCUCACUGCAAGCUCCGCCUCCUGGGUUAGCGCCAUUCUCCUGCCUCAGCCUCCCGAGUAGCUGGGACUACAGGUGCCUGCCACCACGCCUGGCUAAUUUUUUUGUAUUUGUAGUAGAGACAGGGUUUCACCAUGUUAGUCAGGAUGGUCUCAAUCUCCUGACAUCGUGAUUCGCCCUCCUCAGCCUCCCAAAGUGCUGGGAUUACAGGCUUGAGCCACUGCGCCCUGCCAAGAAUAGUAUAAUCUCACUUAGCCAAUUGUAUUUUUUCUUCUUUUUACAAAAAGAAAUUUAUCUCAUUAUUAUGUUUAAUCAGUUUCUUGAGGUAUAACUUAAGUGUACUAAAAUUUGCUCUUUUUAGUGUACAGGUCUAGGAUUUUUGAGAAACACAUAUUCAUAUGUGACCACCCCCAUGAUCAGCAUAUAGAACAGUCAUUUGCCACCCAAAAUUACCUUGUGCCCUUUUGUUGUCAGACUUUUCUUGCUCCAGGCCCUGGCAACCACUGAUGGAUUUUCUGUCCCUAUAGUUUUGCCUUUUCCAGAAUGUUCUGCAAAUGCAAUCAUUUAGUAUGUAGCCUUUUAGGUCUGAUUUCUUUCACUCUGCAUAAUGCAUUUGAGAUUCACCCACGUUGUUACCUGUUACAAUGGUUUGUUCCUUUUUAUUGCAGAGUAAUAUUCCCUUGCAUGGAUGUACCACAGUUUGGGUAACCAUUCAACAGUUGAAUGAGAUUGAAUUUGUUUCCAUUUUUUGGUGAUUAUAAAUACAGCUAUAAACAUUUGUGAAAGUGUUUUGUAUGUAUAUACAUUUUUCUUAGACAUUUGGUUUUAAGAGAUGUAUUUAGGUUUAGUUCCAGAUGAACAAUGAGAGACUGAAAGACUUAAGGGACCCCUGGGAAGAGCAGAGGGAAUAUUCCCUGAAGCAGCCAUCAGUCAGGCCUGGCCCUGUCUUUUAAAUGUGGGCUAGUGGUAGCAAGAUGCUGUUAUUAUUUUCACCAAGGACAUUUUUUGAGUAGCAAUUAAAAUGAACUCUAUUUCUCUGAGCCCCUGGAGAAGAACAUAAGCACAUGAUGGUAACCAUCAAUUUAGUGGGCCUAACGUUAUCUAGGUGGUUAAUGUUUCCAUGGCUUCUGGCAAUUCCCAGUGUAAGUCACCUGUGUAUACUGGGUGGAUGCUUCUUUAAAUUAAAGAUAAGCUGUUCAGCUUAAUAACAGCUAAGGGAGAAUAUAGAGCCCGUGGGUGAACUGUUUACUAACAAGCUUCUUCAGGGUCAUUCGACUUGAACGAACUCUCUUUUAGGCUAACUUGGUUUGUGGAGGGAAUGCAUGUUUCUUAGUUAAAAUAGUUGCAUUGGAAUCCCAACUGUGCGCAGGACUUCAAGGGUAAUUAUGAACCCCCACUGCAGAUUUCAGGCUUAGCACCAAUUCUCCUUGCUUUCUACUUGUAUCCAUUAAAAACAGAAGUUACGAUGGAGUUACAGCUAUACUUGUAAGGGUCUCAGUGAACCUCUCCCACUAUUCUGCCUUAUCACCUUUGGGUUCCUGUGUUCUCUACCCCCUCCCCACUGCAUGUUUUCAUUCAGCCAGGAAACAUUUACUGCCUGCCUGGUAUCAAGCCCUUGCAUGAGGAUGGGAGCUCAUAAAGAUGACUACACUAGAGAAUCAUUUGACCUUUCUCAUGUAGACCUCAACAUGAAUGAGUUUCAAUGCUGAUAGGGCAAUCAUUACCUUCAGAUAAAUUUUCAGGAACAGCCAAGACCAGAGAAUGUAUGGCUAAAACACAGCACUAUGCAUUUAUAAUGGUCAUGGGUUCUCCUGUUUUAAUUGUACAUGGAGAAUAUUUCAGCUUUAUUUGUAUGGGCUGGUCUUAUGUAAAACAUUAUUUCCAUGAGGAAAUGUGUUUGGGGUUCUAAAUGACUAACUUACAAACACAACUUUGAAUAAAGUCCAUGAAUAAUUUGAGGAUUUUUGUCUAUCAAUGGCUGAUUUACCAGAUUGUUGGCUUUGGGUUUAUUGGUAUCCAUGUUGAGAGGCAUCAGAUCAUCCAAGGUUUAAGUUUCAUCCUCACCACUGACUAGCAUUGAGACCUUAAUGGGAUUAAUAACAAUGAUAAUGAUAGUGACAAGAGCUAGCUUUUCAUGAGCACAGUGGCUAAGAGAGUUAGCAUCAGUUCUAGCUGCUUUCAUUGACAUAGAUGUAAAUGGGGAGGGAAACCAUGACUAGGCUCAAAUCUCUGCUCUAACGUCUGAUACCUGAAUAUCACUUUGCAAGCCACGUCAUCUCUCUAAGUUGUGGCUCUUUGUCUGAAAAAUGUGGAUAGUUAAUAUAUUAUAAAUAAAUUAUUAUGACAUUAAUACACAGAAAUUCAUAAUGCUAUUGUGGGGAUUACAAGAGAUGAUGGAAGUAUUUAAUCUAGUGUCUUGUAUAUGGCAAAUAAGAAAUAAAUAUUCACUGCUGUUA